UUAAUGGGACUGUUCUUCAAAUCUGAAACAGUUAUAGAGAAAUAGUCAUAACAAAUGAAAUGUGCAACUCAUCCAUGCUAGCUAAUGCAGGAGCAAGUUACAAAUCAGGAAGAACUGGGGAUGGUAGUGGUCUCAGACAGGGUUUACAACAACUUACUGCUACAUAUCAACUCCUUAUUAAACAGGCACUGAGAAUCAAGUCUUGAAAAACAGCUCAGGGGGCUAGAGAGAAACACAAUAACACAUUCUACAUUCUGCAAGAGAUUAACUACUGCUAUGCAAGGAUAAAUUCCCAUUGUCUGUGUGAGAACUCCUGCUCCAGAGAACAGCGGAUGCACUCUCCAAGGUAUGACACACAAACACAGAGCAGCAAAGGGCCUUGAUUGAUCAAGACAGCAUAAACAGAAUAGCCACAGUUUGGGUUCCUGAAUACUGUCAUCCUCAAGUGAUAAAGACAGCAGUCUUACAGGUAGGUAAAAUGAAUUAUUUUAAAAAAAUAUUUUAAAAUGUAUUUCUUUUUAAUUUAAAAAAUGUUUUUGAGUCUAGUCAUUUGAGCUAUUCAAAACUGAUUCAGAACAUAAGAGUGGAAAAAGAUAUCAGCUACCUGGUUGACACAAAGUCUGCUCAAAAAAGACACUUUCAGCCAGGUGUUCUUUUAUUCGUUUUUCCUCCUCUUCCUUUUGUUGUUGUUGUUCCUUUGCAGAUGGAAGCAGAGUAGCAAUAAUCUCCUUUUUCCCCAGUGCUUUCCUCUGGCUCUGCUCAGACACUUGGAGACGGAAUUUAUCUAUGACACCGUAGUAAGAAGCCCGAACGUCUCUGUGACGAAUCACACUGCAGGAAAACAACAUUUUCAAACAGAUGAACUGCUAAGAAUCAUGCCUAUUGAGAAUUACAUUCUAUAUAUCACAAAGUCUGCCCUCUGCCCCCCCUCCUUCAGAUAAACUGGAAUAAUCCAGACCUCCUCCACCACUCAAUGUUCUUGAAGACUUGAUCUUACCUCCUCUCUUCCCUCUUUAUGUUUACUUUAAUUCCCAAACAUAAAUGCUCUUGGCCAGUUAAGUCUUUAUCUCAAGCCAUCUUUACCCCUGCUGCCAAUUGAUGAAAAAUGAAUUAUCUGAAAGAUGCCCCCUCCUCCUUUAUCAAAGUUGUUUGAUGCUGGCCAGUGAUUUUAAAAGGACUGAGGGGACUGCAGUGGCCAGGGAAGGAAAGGAGUUGGGCAGGUGUUUGGCAAGCAACAGUCCGGCUUCUGGAGGAAACCAGGCUCAAAGCUUUACAAUUCUACUUUCUCAGAAGCAAAACUCAUUUUCCCUCUAUAGACAAGAGUCAGUUAGGGAUUUUCAAAAUCAGAAACCCACCACUGAGAGCAUGUUUGGAACCUAUAAAAAGCACAGCUUUAAAAUAGCACUGAUCAACAGCAAAACAGACCUCUGAGCAGUGCUGUGCUCAACUGCCUCUUCUCUGCAUUUGUGAUUCAUCAUGAGAAUACAUAUCUAGCUUUGAAAAGCUACAACAUUUGGGUUUUGAAGUGAUAUCAGCUCUUAGGGUAAAUAAGGAUUUCAACUAUUUUUCCAGAUAUUUUUUGUUAAAGGUUAUUCUAAGUUUCCAAGAUAACAGCAGUUGAUCUGAAGAACAUACAUACAAAGAAGCAGGUAGUCAUCUCAUGAGGGGGAAAAAAUGACUGUACCCUUAGAAACACAGAAUAGGAGUCUUAAAAUUGCUUCAAAAAACCAAUGUUUGUGAUACUGUAUACAUUAAAAUGCUGCAGGAAAUGGAUUUUUGUUUUCCAGUCCUUUUUUAAAGGAACUAUAUCACAUCAAGAUAUCUACAAGCAUGAGCACGUAGCCAGUGCUUGCAACUGGUAACUGGUUUGAAUGGACUAUUCACCACAGAAACAGAGACCAAGUCAUCCCCUCAGCAAGAGGCUGCAGUGAUGUUUUAUGUCACUCCAGAGGCAAAGGACAGUGCCUAUGACAGGCUUCCAGCAAGUGGAGUGUUGGCUGGGCAACUGCCUUCACUAAAACAAAAGGCUUUUUCCCCCCACAAGCCUAAUUCAUCCAGCUCUCAGCAUAUCAGCACAGCAGAUCAACUCUGAUUUCUUCCUUUAACACUUCCUUUUAAAUUGGUGUUCCUACUCCUAGUGCCAUGGUACCAACUACCAACCUAAACAGAAUCUUUACAUAACACUGUGCUAGGAGAACAUGUAUCUGCUGCCAAGCAAGGAGAUAUUUUCUGCAGACCCUUAUAAACAGAUACAUUCUCCUGUUUCUUUUUAGAGAUCAUUGCAUAAUUGGAAGCUCUGUAGAAUAUCUGUUUAUCUGGCAAAUGGCCACACUUGCAUAGUACUGCUCAUAUCCUAGCAGUAAACACUGUCCUUAGACAGCAACCACUGGAGUGGGAUGGGGGGUUUUGCUGCACAGAAAAAUCCCUUGGAACAUGUGUCUGCCUUAUUUUCCUUUAUUUAAUAAAACCCAUUUGUUUCACCAAAUGUAA